GGAAUGGAUAAGCGCUGAAAGCAUCUAAGCGCGAAGCCAACUUCAAGAUAAGAUUUCCCACCGCAAGGGUAAGACUCCAGAAAGACUAUCUGGUUGAUAGGUCGAAGGUGUAAGUGCAGCAAUGUAUUUAGCUUAUCGAUACUAAUAGGUCGAGGACUUGACCAAUAUUUAUU
rnacentral:rRNA from 1 species